rnacentral:lncRNA from 1 species
AGGUAUCGGACCCCGUCUCGCAGUCGGAGUCGCAGCAGAACUCCACCGCACUGGAAGCAAGCUGCAAAUCGAACCAUAAAACUCUCCGAACUUGAAAAGAUGGCUUUGGAGCAGAAAGAAAGAGAGGAAGAGAUCAAGAGAAGAGAGGAAGCGAGGAAACAGCGACACGCAGAAAGAGAAAAAGAGCUAGCCAAGAAAGAAGAAGAGAGGAAACGCAAGAGAGAUAAUCCGGAGAAAAGUCCUCACGGCCGAUCAAGAGAUAAGCCUAAAGAUCAAUCGAAGGAGCACUCUGACGAGAAGAAAAGCAGACCUCAUCAGUCGGAUGAUGAAAAAAGAGAGAAGAUAACUAAUGGCCAUUCGAAGACCAGUGCACAAAAUGAGAAAACUAUGGAGGGAUUAGUGGAUUACAACGCUUUGGAUUAUGACGAAUCUGGUGAUGCUUCGGAUACCAGUCGUGGCAAAGAAAAAUCUAGUCCCAAAAAUGAUAAGAAGAAAGAAAAGGGCAGCGAUGCCAUCGUAGCAGAAAUGUUCGCUCAAUUGAAUGCCAUCGAAGAAAAAGCCCACUCUUUGGAAGGCAAAUACUCCAGCUCUAAAAGCGACAAGAGCCAUCGGAAACAGGACGUGGGAGCGGACCCAGGGGUGUCGAAGACGGAAAAAAAACUGAUGGAUAUGCUCCACUCAGGAGUGAAUUUCGACAAAAACCUCUUGAAGCACAUCAAGCUCAGCAAAGAAAACGUCAUCGAGAAAAACCAGUUAUCGGACUCCUCCUCCGAGGAUGAUGAACCAAGUCGCACUUCGCGCUUCAAGCAAACCGCAAAAGCUGAAGCGAAGGACGGCAGACGUAGGUCAAGAUCCAGAGAUCGGCGGAACCGUUCGCGAUCUCGCGAUAAUAGUCGUAGGCAUCGAUCUCGAUCUCGGUCGAAAGGACGAACAGUCUCCUCCUCGCGGAACAAACGAACUGAAGAGAAGCGACGGUCCGUAUCACGUUCUCGGAACACAUCACGAUCUCGAAAACACCGGUCUACCUCUCGAUCGCGGAAUCAUCGGUCUUCAUCUCAUUCAAAACGUAGGAAAUCCAAGAGUAGGUCACCCCGUUCUAGGCAUCACAAAUCACGUUCAAGGUCUCAUAGCAGGCGGAGGAGCCCCUCGAAAGACUCCAAGCGAAAUAAGUCCAAGUCCCCCGCACGUCAUACUAGUAGCUCAAAAUCCAAGGCCUCGGAGCAGAAAUCCAACAAUCGGAGAUCGAAAUCCAAGUCCGUGGAGCGCUCGAAAGUGUCCAAGCGUCACCGGAAGUCCGGCAGCUCCUCGUCGAGUGAUUCUAGUGUAGAUAAGUCUAAAGAUAGCGCGACCACUCGCUCCGAUAAAGCACGGAAGAAGUUGACGGAACGCUUAAAGCAUUUAGAGAAAGUGAGGGAAGCGCGACUGAAAAAACGAUCCGCGAGUUCCUCGGAUUCUGAUUCUGACUCUUCCUAUGACAAACGUAAAAAGAGACGGCGCUAAACUGAAGUUUACUUCCUCUGAUCACUGCGUGCGUGGAGAGGUGUUGUUUUAUCUGUCCUCAGUUCUAUGAGUCUGAAUAAAUCGUCUGUGAUGAAUCUGAAACGUAUAAAAUGAUACCUUCUAAAAAAAAUGUAAAAAAUGCAAGUGAGUUGAGCUCUGUUUUAAUAAAUUAUACAACUGUUAAGGUAUUUUAAUACUUGCUUUUUCAAGUUUCGUUGUUGUCAAGGCACUUACAAUUUAAGUUUAUUUCUGAAAUUGAGGAAUGACAAUUUGGAAAUUAUCAAUAACUGUCAGUUGCUGCCAAAAUAUUUUCACUAUUCUAUCAAUUUAUUGUAUGAAACUCAAAUUUUCCUUGAUUCUUUGAGUGAAAAAUAAAUCCUAGUUCCAGUUUCAGAAAAUUUAAUCUUGUGGUAGGUAAAAAUCAUCAUUGGUUACCUGUGUAGUUCUUCUGGUGAAUUAAAGAAAAAGAAGAAAAAACUACAUAUGACUUUAUUUGCAUUAUGACUCUUACCUUUUCAACUACGUAUAAUUUUUUUUGUUCUAUUUGAAGUCCUUUUUCUCACUAAGGACUUAUUUUUUUGCAACUAAAACAACAAAUUUUAAGUAUUCCUAAUAUGCAUUGGUUAGUAUUGAGGAAUAAGAGGCUUGUCUUGGAUUUUACUAUCUCAAUUAUAAGCAGUGUAAAUUUUUUUUUUUUUGACUAAUUUGUGAAACAAAACAUCGAUGCCGAAUGUAAUCACAAUUUUUCAGCUUCGGCAAGGCCUUGAAAGCCUUCUCAUUCGUCCUUCAAGUUGCAUCAAAUAAAAGCUUUAUUUGAUAACUCCGGAAUUUUUUUCUCUAUUUCAUUUUCUUGCCCUCUUCUCAAUUUUUUUUAAUUACUCAGGAGUGAUUAAGCGAGUACGUAUCGGGAUUGAGACAUAGGCAUGAAACUUUGUUUUUACAUAUUGUGGCUAAAGAACAAUGCGGUCUAACUAGCAAUUUCGGCGUAAAUCAGUAAGCAACUUUAUCGCAUUUUGCAGUAUAAAAUACGCAAACUGAUGUUUUUAGUUUUUCCGAUUCUGCAUUUAGCACUGUAAUGAGGAUGUAAUGUCAAAAAAAAAACAGCAAACCUAGCUUCAAAAUUACAAAAGUGGCGAAGUUUUUCCUUGCUCUGUAAAAUUGGACGUAUUUCUAUCAAACGGAACUUUGUGCACUGUGACGUGAGCCCUGUAAUGCAUCUAUUCUUAUGGGUCGCAGGGCUCAUGUCUUAAUGCACAUAGUUCCGUUUGAUAGAAAUACGUCCAAUUGGCAUCCAGCAGGUAGGCGGUAUUGUUCCUUAUCAUUGACAUACUUCCUUAACUCCAUGAUCAGUGGCAUACGCUGAUGGAAAUUCUGAAUGUAUAAUGUAUAAUUUAUCUGACACGAAGUAUUCGCCCAUCAAAUACAUUCAAGAAAUAAUGUUUUCCAUGACUUCAGAAAAAAACAUUUUCUCCUAAUGUGCUUGUUUGAAAAGCAUUAUUAAAAAAAAACAGUGACCUGUAGUCAAUGAAGGGUUUUAGCUCAAGAAAAUUUGCCAAGAACCCAUUUGAACUGAGACUUACGAAAGGACAAACUUCUAUAAACCUUUAAUUUAUCCUAGCUGUACAGGGUGAUCCAAAAGUCCUGCAAUACCAGCACCAGGCAUACUGGGCAUUACCUCUGUAACUUGUAAACAAAUUGAGGUAGAGACUUAAAUUGUUGUUAGUGCCCCUAGGUCAAAGGAAACGAUUUUUGGAAGCCUCCAAAAUUUCGAAGAGACUUUCCUGGAAGGUGACGAGGACCUUAGGGGCUUUAGGGGUGGUGGCGGUGGGGGACUUUUUGAUCACCCUGUACAGCAUUUAUCUGCGGCAGGUCCAAAACAUAAUCCUACACCUAAGCUGUAAUUAAAGCUUCAUCGCAUCAGUCAAUUCUACUUAUAUAAUCCAUUGGUUAAGAUGUUUGAUCUAUUCUUUGCAAUGCUGGUGAUAAAGCAAGAUGUUUCUGAAUUUUUAGCAAUUUAUUCCCGAACAUUCCUGUUCAUUUAAAAGUGAUAAAGUAAAAGUAAAUCAUCCACAUCUAAUCUGAAAUAAUAAAAAAUUCUGUCGUUGACAAUGACUCUUGUAUUCCUCAUUUUAUUUCUCUUUUUGCAUCGAAUCAAAACAUAAUUGCGUUUUCUAAUAUCUUACAACAAGAAUGAGCU